rnacentral:rRNA from 1 species
AGAGUUUGAUCAUGGCUCAGAUUGAACGCUGGCGGCAGGCUUAACACAUGCAAGUCGAGCGGUAGCAGGCCUUCGGGUGCUGACGAGCGGCGGACGGGUGAGGAAUGCAUAGGAAUCUGCCUAUUAGUGGGGGAUAACACGGGGAAACUCGUGCUAAUACCGCAUACGUCCUACGGGAGAAAGCGGGGGAUCUUCGGACCUCGCGCUAAUAGAUGAGCCUAUGCCGGAUUAGCUAGUUGGUAGGGUAAAGGCCUACCAAGGCGACGAUCCGUAGCUGGUCUGAGAGGAUGAUCAGCCACACUGGGACUGAGACACGGCCCAGACUCCUACGGGAGGCAGCAGUGGGGAAUAUUGGACAAUGGGCGCAAGCCUGAUCCAGCCAUGCCGCGUGUGUGAAGAAGGCCUUCGGGUUGUAAAGCACUUUAAGUGGGGAGGAAGGUUAGUGGUUUAAUACGCUACUAAAUUGACGUUACCCACAGAAUAAGCACCGGCUAACUCUGUGCCAGCAGCCGCGGUAAUACAGAGGGUGCAAGCGUUAAUCGGAAUUACUGGGCGUAAAGCGCGCGUAGGUGGUUUUGUAAGUUGAAUGUGAAAUCCCCGGGCUUAACCUGGGAAUGGCAUCCAAAACUGCACGACUAGAGUAUGGGAGAGGGAGGUAGAAUUCCAGGUGUAGCGGUGAAAUGCGUAGAGAUUUGGAGGAAUACCGGUGGCGAAGGCGGCCUCCUGGCCUAAUACUGACACUGAGGUGCGAAAGCGUGGGUAGCAAACAGGAUUAGAUACCCUGGUAGUCCACGCCGUAAACGAUGAGAACUAGCCGUUGGUCUCCUUGAGAGGUUAGUGGCGCAGCUAACGCGAUAAGUUCUCCGCCUGGGGAGUACGGCCGCAAGGUUAAAACUCAAAUGAAUUGACGGGGGCCCGCACAAGCGGUGGAGCAUGUGGUUUAAUUCGACGCAACGCGAAGAACCUUACCUGGCCUUGACAUCCACGGAAUCCUGCAGAGAUGUGGGAGUGCCUUCGGGAACCGUGAGACAGGUGCUGCAUGGCUGUCGUCAGCUCGUGUUGUGAAAUGUUGGGUUAAGUCCCGUAACGAGCGCAACCCUUGUCCUUAGUUGCCAGCGAGUAAUGUCGGGAACUCUAAGGAGACUGCCGGUGACAAACCGGAGGAAGGUGGGGACGACGUCAAGUCAUCAUGGCCCUUACGACCAGGGCUACACACGUGCUACAAUGGCCGGUACAGAGGGUUGCUAAGCCGCGAGGUGGAGCCAAUCCCGAAAAGCCGGUCGUAGUCCGGAUUGCAGUCUGCAACUCGACUGCAUGAAGUCGGAAUCGCUAGUAAUCGCAGAUCAGAAUGCUGCGGUGAAUACGUUCCCGGGCCUUGUACACACCGCCCGUCACACCAUGGGAGUGGGUUGCACCAGAAGUAGUUAGCUUAACCGCAAGGGGAGCGAUUACCACGGUGUGAUUCAUGACUGGGGUGAAGUCGGAACAAGGUA